UACGAAGGGGGCUAGCGUUGUUCGGAAUUACUGGGCGUAAAGCGCACGUAGGCGGAUAUUUAAGUCAGGGGUGAAAUCCCAGAGCUCAACUCUGGAACUGCCUUUGAUACUGGGUAUCUUGAGUAUGGAAGAGGUGAGUGAAAUUCCGAGUGUAGAGGUGAAAUUCGUAGAUAUUCGGAGGAACACCAGUGGCGAAGGCGGCUCACUGGUCCAUUACUGACGCUGAGGUGCGAAAGCGUGGGGAGCAAACAGG
rnacentral:rRNA from 1 species